GACGCUGGCGGCAGGCCUAACCAUGCAAGUCGAGCGGUAGAGAAGAAGCUUGCUUCUUCUUGAGAGCGGCGGACGGGUGAGUAAUGCCUAGGAAUCUGCCUGGUAGUGGGGGACAACGUUUCGAAAGGAACGCUAAUACCGCAUACGUCCUACGGGAGAAAGUGGGGGAUCUUCGGACCUCACGCUAUCAGAUGAGCCUAGGUCGGAUUAGCUUGUAGGUGAGGUAAUGGCUCACCUAGGCAACGAUCCGUAACUGGUCUGAGAGGAUGAUCAGUCACACUGGAACUGAGACACGGUCCAGACUCCUACGGGAGGCAGCAGUGGGGAAUAUUGGACAAUGGGCGAAAGCCUGAUCCAGCCAUGCCGCGUGUGUGAAGAAGGUCUUCGGAUUGUAAAGCACUUUAAGUUGGGAGGAAGGGUUGUAGCUUAAUACGCUGCAACUUUGACGUUACCAACAGAAUAAGCACCGGCUAACUCUGUGCCAGCAGCCGCGGUAAUACAGAGGGUGCAAGCGUUAAUCGGAAUUACUGGGCGUAAAGCGCGCGUAGGCGGCUUGAUAAGAUGGGUGUGAAAUCCCCGGGCUUAACCUGGGAACUGCAUCCAUAACUGUCUGGCUAGAGUACAGUAGA
rnacentral:rRNA from 2 species